AGAGUUUGAUCCUGGCUCAGAAUGAACGCUGGCGGCGUGCCUAACACAUGCAAGUCGGAUGUGCCCGCAAGGGUGCAUGGCAGACGGGUGAGUAACGCGUGGGGAACCUACCUCUUUGUGGGGAAUAACGUUCCGAAAGGAAUGGUAAUACCGCAUGAGACCUUCGGCUGGGAUGCUGGAGGUGAAACCCGGGGACCGUAAGGCCUGGGGCAAGGAGAGGGUCCUGCGUCUGAUUAGCUAGUUGGCGGGGUAAUGGCCCACCAAGGCGACGAUCAGUAGCCGGCCUGAGAGGGUGAUCGGCCACACUGGAACUGAGACACGGUCCAGACUCCUACGGGAGGCAGCAGUGGGGAAUUUUGCGCAAUGGACGAAAGUCUGACGCAGCAACGCCGCGUGGGUGAUGAAGGUCUUCGGAUUGUAAAACCCUGUCGUCAGGGACGAAGGUUGGGGCUUUAAUAGAGUUUCAACUUGACGGUACCUGGAGAGGAAGCCCCGGCUAACUCUGUGCCAGCAGCCGCGGUAAUACAGAGGGGGCAAGCGUUAUUCGGAAUUACUGGGCGUAAAGGGCGCGUAGGCGGUUCUUUAAGUCGGAUGUGCAAUCCCCGAGCUCAACUUGGGAACUGCAUCCGAAACUGGGGAGCUAGAGUGCUGGAGAGGGUGGUGGAAUUCCACGUGUAGCGGUGAAAUGCGUAGAGAUGUGGAGGAACACCAGUGGCGAAGGCGGCCACCUGGACAGUAACUGACGCUGAGGCGCGAAAGUGUGGGUAGCAAACAGGAUUAGAUACCCUGGUAGUCCACGCUGUAAACGAUGAACACUUGGUGUGGUGGGAGUUGACCCCUGCCGUGCCGGAGCUAACGCGUUAAGUGUUCCGCCUGGGGAGUACGGUCGCAAGGCUGAAACUCAAAGGAAUUGACGGGGGCCCGCACAAGCGGUGGAGCAUGUGGUUUAAUUCGACGCAACGCGAAGAACCUUACCUGGGCUUGAACU
rnacentral:rRNA from 1 species